rnacentral:misc_RNA from 1 species
AAACUGCGAUAAGUAGUGUGAAUUGCAUUGAGUGAAUCAUCGAAUUUUCGAACGCACAUUGCACCCACUGGUAUUCCAGUGAGUACGCCUGUUUCAGUAUCAUUGAAACUCCACAAUCAAAAAGAUUGAUUGGAAUUGGGCUCUUUGUUUGAAUUUAUUUUCAAGCAGCCUUGAAUUACCUGGCAGAUAUAUUGAAAUUCGUUUCGCUGUAUCACCAACAAAAAUGUAUCGAUCUGAAAUCAGGUGGGACUACCCGCUGAACUUAA